UACGUAGGGAGCAAGCGUUGUCCGGAAUCAUUGGGCGUAAAGCGCGCGUAGGCGGCCUCGUAAGUCCGUUGUGAAAGUCAAAGGCUCAACCUUUGAAAGCCGAUGGAUACUGUGAGGCUAGAGUCCGGAAGAGGCGAGUGGAAUUCCUGGUGUAGGCGGUGGAAUGCGCAGAUAGUCAAGGAGGAACACCAAGUAGACGUCGAAGGCAUGACCGUCCGCCUAGGGGACGG
rnacentral:rRNA from 1 species